AUCUUUCUAGUAUUAAAGUUAGUACAAGUGACUUCCAAUCAUUUAGUCUUGGUUAAUCCCAGGGAGAGAUA
rnacentral:tRNA from 1 species